rnacentral:misc_RNA from 1 species
GGUAUGUAUCUUGAAAUUAUCAAAUGCAAAUGUCAUCAUCAUGAGAACAGAUUCUUUGCCAAGCCCUUUACCACGACUUUUCAGUUCAGCUAUCAUAAUCUCGACUUCAGCCAUCUGUGGAUCAUCCAAGUCAUUCAUGUAUAUGUUCACAUCACCAACCAUGGCUUCAACAUGAGGUUCUCCAUGAAUGAAGUUUUCAACAAUUAGUUCCCUGUCCAACACGAUGAAAGUCUGCUUUAAGGGGUCUUGGGUCCAAGAAAGUUGCAUUUCAUAUUCUUGCUCAAGGGUAAGUGGUUCAGAACCAGUUGCUUGAAGGAGAAGAGGAUCUUGCAUCCAUUCAUGGUACUUCGGCACAUGCUCUCUCAUGUAGGGUACCAGUAUCACCUUCUCCCCUUCCA